UACAGAGGGGGCAAGCGUUGUUCGGAAUUACUGGGCGUAAAGGGCGCGUAGGCGGCCUGCUAAGUCGAACGUGAAAUCCCCGGGCUCAACCCGGGAACUGCGUCCGAUACUGGCAGGCUUGAAUUCGGGAGAGGGAUGCGGAAUUCCAGGUGUAGCGGUGGAAUGCGCAGAUAUCAGGAGGAACACCAAUGGCGAAGGCAGCUCGCUGGGACGGUACUGACGCUGAGGCGCGAAAGCGUGGGGAGCAAACAGG
rnacentral:rRNA from 1 species